UACAGAGGGUGCGAGCGUUAUUCGGAAUUACUGGGCGUAAAGAGAACGUAGGCGGUUAGGUAAGUCUGAUGUGAAAGCCCUGGGCUCAACCCAGGAAGUGCAUUGGAUACUGCCAAACUAGAGUACAGGAGAGGAGAGCGGAAUUCCUGGUGUAGAGGUGAAAUUCGUAGAUAUCAGGAGGAACAACGGAGGCGAAGGCGGCUCUCUGGACUGUAACUGACGCUAAGGUUCGAAAGCGUGGGUAGCAAACAGG
rnacentral:rRNA from 1 species